rnacentral:lncRNA from 1 species
GCUGCAGUACGCUGCCUUUACGUGACGCCCUUGGAGCAAUUCGCAUAGUUGGAUAGUCAUAGUAAAGUUCUGCCCGAGUUUUUUCAAGGAGCCACGCCGUGCACCUCAUCAGCAUCUUCAUGCCCAGCUGUUGGAGGAUCACCAGGAGAAGGGUAGAGAACGGUGAUGCUGGUGAAGCAUCCCGAGAAAUGUUUUCUCGCUCUUGUCAAGAACUUCUUUGGGACGCACAUAACGCUGUAUUUGUCCUCCACAGUAAUGUCUGCUGUGGACUCUGGAAUACAUGCACAAACGCCACCACACCCAAGAGCUCACGCGGUGCACAAAACCCCGCAUAAACUGCCGAGUGCUAAAGCUGCACAAAAGCGCAGGGGUUAACCCACGCAGGCUCUGAACUUGAGGUAUUCUGCAAGGGCAUGGGUUCGAUACCCUGUGGUGGUGGAACAACACUCGCAUUUGCCGAUAAAUAUAUUGGUCGAGCUUUAAGAGUUCAAAGGGCUUCUAAAGAAUGUGAUAUGAGGCGUCGCAUUCUUGUACAGAAUGCGUCCUCGAUGACGGGUAAACGCAGGCUGCGGCGUGAUGGCGCAAGUUUCUCGAUCAGCGUUGACGACCCCGCCAUCACACACACAAGGCUCCAGGAUGAGUACCGCCUGGCUCUCAAGCUCGGACUUGGCCCCGGCGACCUGCUGCAAUGCAACCGGUCGGCCAUUAUCACCUGCUUCUUACCUGCAGACGUAAAAUUGGAACUCUGGCAGAAAUUCAACCAACUGACAAAUGCGGAGAAGGCGGACACAUGAUGUGUGCGUUUUCUUUGAGAACACGAAAUAAAGCUCGCAGGCACAUUUUAA